rnacentral:rRNA from 1 species
UACGUAGGGUGCGAGCGUUAAUCGGAAUUACUGGGCGUAAAGCGUGCGCAGGCGGCUUGCCAAGUCAGAUGGGAAAGCCCCGGGCUCAACCCGGGAACUGCGUUUGAAACUGGCAGGCUAGAGUUUGGCAGAGGGGGGUGGAAUUCCACGUGUAGCAGUGAAAUGCGUAGAGAUGUGGAGGAACACCGAUGGCGAAGGCAGCCCCCUGGGCCAAAACUGACGCUCAGGCACGAAAGCGUGGGGAGCAAACAGG